GGCCAUGAGCAGGCUGGAUUUUGAGACUGACUCAAGCUGAGACAACCUAAUUGCUUUCUCCCUUUCUUUCUUUUUUUCAAACGGGAAUGAGGACUGCAUGAUUAAUAAAAGAGAGAGGAAAGACAGGCGUAACCCAACCUAAUUUCGAUGAAGUACUUGAUACACGUCUAAUGAAGUCUUACAAAGCGAGUUUCCUUUGGAUUGGCUUUAGAUUCCAGCACUCCAUAAAAGCUGUAAGCUUGGUAGCAGGAAACCUAUGAUCCCAGAAGAUCUUGUAAAGGAAAACUCAUCACCUGACACUCCACAGUCUCCCAAUGCUCAUUUCCAGCCUCCUCCUCCAUCCAUCUUGUCCCUUGCUGCAUGAGUAGCUUUCAUUACAGUAAACUUCCAUUACCUGUAUCUGCUUUGUAGAGACAGUACUCAUUUCAAAUUGUUCAUUAGUAAUGCUCCCUCAUAUUGCUCAAUUGAUAAUAUUUUUCUGCUCAUGAAUAUUGUUUGGGGUGAUUUGGGUUGGGUGGAAUGCAUCACAACUUUUUCCAAUUAAAACUAAUGGAAAAUUGUUUUAUUUAAUGGCUUUUCGCUAAGUGACAGGGUUUUUCGGAGACAAAUUAAAAUGGUUCAGUGAGGGAUAGUAAUAUCUAACUUACA
rnacentral:lncRNA from 1 species